AUUGAACGCUGGCGGCAGGCCUAACACAUGCAAGUCGAGCGGAUGAAGGGAGCUUGCUCCUGGAUUCAGCGGCGGACGGGUGAGUAAUGCCUAGGAAUCUGCCUGGUAGUGGCGGAUAACGUCCGGAAACGGGCGCUAAUACCGCAUACGUCCUGAGGGAGAAAGUGGGGGAUCUUCGGACCUCACGCUAUCAGAUGAGCCUAGGUCGGAUUAGCUAGUUGGUGGGGUAAAGGCCUACCAAGGCGACGAUCCGUAACUGGUCUGAGAGGAUGAUCAGUCACACUGGAACUGAGACACGGUCCAGACUCCUACGGGAGGCAGCAGUGGGGAAUAUUGGACAAAGGGCGAAAGCCUGAUCCAGCCAUGCCGCGUGUGUGAAGAAGGUCUUCGGAUUGUAAAGCACUUUAAGUUGGGAGGAAGGGCAGUAAGUUAAUACCUUGCUGUUUUGACGUUACCAACAGAAUAAGCACCGGCUAACUUCGUG
rnacentral:rRNA from 1 species